GCAUUUUCCUCGCAUGAGGGAGAUGAGAAAGGCGGAGCAAUCUGCCACUUAUGGAUGGACCUGCGGCGCAUUAGCUAGUUGGUAAGGUAACGGCUUACCAAGGCGACGAUGCGUAGCCGACCUGAGAGGGUGAUCGGCCACACUGGGACUGAGACACGGCCCAGACUCCUACGGGAGGCAGCAGUAGGGAAUCUUCCGCAAUGGACGAAAGUCUGACGGAGCAACGCCGCGUGAGUGAUGAAGGUUUUCGGAUCGUAAAGCUCUGUUGCCAGGGAAGAACGCCUAGGAGAGUAACUGCUCUUAGGGUGACGGUACCUGAGAAGAAAGCCCCGGCUAACUACGUGCCAGCAGCCGCGGUAAUACGUAGGGGGCGAGCGUUGUCCGGAAUUAUUGGGCGUAAAGCGCGCGCAGGCGGCAAUGUAAGUUGGGUGUUUAAACCUAGGGCUCAACCUUGGGUCGCAUCCAAAACUGCAUAGCUUGAGUACAGAAGAGGAAAGUGGAAUUCCACGUGUAGCGGUGAAAUGCGUAGAGAUGUGGAGGAACACCAGUGGCGAAAGGCGACUUUCUGGGCUGUAACUGACGCU
rnacentral:rRNA from 1 species